UACGGAGGAUGCAAGCGUUAUCCGGAAUGAUUGGGCGUAAAGGGUCCGCAGGUGGCUAUGUAAGUCUGCUGUUAAAGAGCGAGGCUCAACCUUGUAAGAGCAGUGGAAACUACAUAGCUAGAGUGCGUUCGGGGCAGAGGGAAUUCCUGGUGUAGCGGUGAAAUGCGUAGAUAUCAGGAAGAACACCGGUGGCGAAAGCGCUCUGCUAGGCCGCAACUGACACUGAGGGACGAAAGCUAGGGGAGCGAAUGGG
rnacentral:rRNA from 1 species